AGAGCCACAUUUCCAGACAAACUUCGUCGUCACUUUGGUUGUGUGCAAUCUCAUACACUGCAGUGUAUUUUAAUAUUGACAGCGAACUUUUUUCCGACGAAGUUCGCUCAGCCAUUUGAUUCUUUUUAAA